GGUGCUUCUUCUGCGAGUACGUCAAUUGAUGAGCGUAUUAAGCUCACCACCUUCCUCCUCGCUGAAAGUACUUUACAACCCGAAGGCCUUCUUCAUACACGCGGCAUGGUUGCAUCAGGCUUGCGCCCAUUGUGCAAUAUUCCCCACUGCUGCCUCCCGUAGGAGU
rnacentral:rRNA from 1 species